AACGCUAGCUACAGGCUUAACACAUGCAAGUCGAGGGGCAGCAUAAAAGUAGCAAUACUUUGGUGGCGACCGGCGCACGGGUGAGUAACGCGUAUGCAACCUACCUAUCAGAGGGGAAUAACCCGGCGAAAGUCGGACUAAUACCGCAUAAAACAGGGACACCGCAUGGUGAUAUUUGUUAAAGAAAUUCGCUGAUAGAUGGGCAUGCGUUCCAUUAGGUAGUUGGUGAGGUAACGGCUCACCAAGCCGACGAUGGAUAGGGGAACUGAGAGGUUGGUCCCCCACACUGGUACUGAGACACGGACCAGACUCCUACGGGAGGCAGCAGUGAGGAAUCUUGGUCAAUGGGCGCAAGGCCUGAACCAGCCACGUAGCGUGAAGGAAGACUGCCCUUAGGGUUGUAAACUUCUUUUAUAAGGGAAUAACGUCAGUAACGAGUUACUGAUUGCAUGUACCUUAUGAAUAAGGAUCGGCUAACUCCGUGCCAGCAGCCGCGGUAAUACGGAGGAUCCGAGCGUUAUCCGGAUUUAUUGGGUUUAAAGGGAGCGUAGGCGGGGAGUCAAGUCAGUUGUGAAAAGCCGCGGCCCAACCGUGGUCGUGCAGUUGAAACUGGUUCUCUUGAGUGCGCACGAGGACGGUGGAAUUCGUGGUGUAGCGGUGAAAUGCUUAGAUAUCACGAAGAACUCCGAUUG
rnacentral:rRNA from 1 species